CUGGAGCUGAGGGUGGAGGCAGCAAGGAGGUGGGUGAGGAGGAAGCCCAAGUAUUUCAUGUUUCUUAUAAUCAGUUUCUUUCAGGGACUUCUUCAGGGACUGCCUGAUCCCUUCACAAUGCUCCUCUUCCUGAUCAAGGAAAAGACAUGUGAUUUUGCAGUCUCCUUUAGCUCUCCUUCAUGGAAAUGAUUCUCUUGACACUGAAACUAAAACAUCGUCUAGGCAUGGCUGAAAAGGAUGUGUGCCAACAUAGGAGACGUCUUGGCUAAGAAAGUGGAGAAGUGACAUGUGCAGACAAGAUGCCAUGGAAGAGAAAGGCAAACACAGACAGAGGCUCCUCCUUGAAAGAAGCUUCAGCACACGUGGAGAACCCUUGAUCUAUCACGUGCCUGUAGGCUGCAGUGAGAUUCUGCUGAUGUCUUGGGAAACCCACCUUUUCGAGAGA